GGGUAGAGCACUGUUUCGGCUAGGGGGUCAUCCCGACUUACCAAACCGAUGCAAACUCCGAAUACCUGGAAGUGUCAGCGUGGGAGACACACGGCGGGUGCUAACGUCCGUCGUGAAAAGGGAAACAACCCAGACCGUCAGCUAAGGUCCCAAAGUUAUGGUUAAGUGGUAAACGAUGUGGGAAGGCUUAGACAGCUAGGAGGUUGGCUUAGAAGCAGCCACCCUUUAAAGAAAGCGUAAUAGCUCACUAGUCGAGUCGGCCUGCGCGGAAGAUGUAACGGGGCUCAAACCAUACACCGAAGCUACGGGUGCAUCGCAAGAUGCGCGGUAGAGGAGCGUUCUGUAAGCCUGUGAAGGUGAGUUGAGAAGCUUGCUGGAGGUAUCAGAAGUGCGAAUGCUGACAUGAGUAACGACAAUGGGAGUGAAAAACUCCCACGCCGAAAGACCAAGGGUUCCUGCGCAACGUUAAUCGACGCAGGGUUAGUCGGUCCCUAAGGCGAGGCUGAAGAGCGUAGUCGAUGGGAAACAGGUUAAUAUUCCUGUACUUCUAGUUACUGCGAUGGAGGGACGGAGAAGGCUAGGCCAGCUUGGCGUUGGUUGUCCAAGUUUAAGGUGGUAGGCAGAGAUCUUAGGUAAAUCCGGGGUCUUAAUGCCGAGAGCUGAUGACGAGUCAUCUUUUAGAUGAUGAAGUGGUUGAUGCCAUGCUUCCAGGAAAAGCUUCUAAGCUUCAGGUAACUAGGAACCGUACCCCAAACCGACACAGGUGGUUGGGUAGAGAAUACCAAGGCGCUUGAGAGAACUCGGGUGAAGGAACUAGGCAAAAUGGCACCGUAACUUCGGGAGAAGGUGCGCCGGCGAGGGUGAAGUAUUUACUACGUAAGCCCAUGCCGGUCGAAGAUACCAGGCCGCUGCGACUGUUUAUUAAAAACACAGCACUCUGCAAACACGAAAGUGGACGUAUAGGGUGUGACGCCUGCCCGGUGCCGGAAGGUUAAUUGAUGGGGUUAGCGAAAGCGAAGCUCUUGAUCGAAGCCCCGGUAAACGGCGGCCGUAACUAUAACGGUCCUAAGGUAGCGAAAUUCCUUGUCGGGUAAGUUCCGACCUGCACGAAUGGCGUAACGAUGGCGGCGCUGUCUCCACCCGAGACUCAGUGAAAUUGAAAUCGCUGUGAAGAUGCAGUGUAUCCGCGGCUAGACGGAAAGACCCCGUGAACCUUUACUGUAGCUUUGCACUGGACUUUGAGCCUGCUUGUGUAGGAUAGGUGGGAGGCUUUGAAGCGUGGACGCCAGUCUGCGUGGAGCCAUCCUUGAAAUACCACCCUGGCAUGCUUGAGGUUCUAACUCUGGUCCGUUAUCCGGAUCGAGGACAGUGUAUGGUGGGCAGUUUGACUGGGGCGGUCUCCUCCUAAAGAGUAACGGAGGAGUACGAAGGUGCGCUCAGACCGGUCGGAAAUCGGUCGUAGAGUAUAAAGGCAAAAGCGCGCUUGACUGCGAGACAGACACGUCGAGCAGGUACGAAAAGUAGGUCUUAGUGAUCCGGUGGUUCUGUAUGGAAGGGCCAUCGCUCAACGGAUAAAAGGUACUCCGGGGAUAACAGGCUGAUACCGCCCAAGAGUUCAUAUCGACGGCGGUGUUUGGCACCUCGAUGUCGGCUCAUCACAUCCUGGGGCUGAAGCCGGUCCCAAGGGUAUGGCUGUUCGCCAUUUAAGUGGUACGCGAGCUGGGUUUAGAACGUCGUGAGA
rnacentral:rRNA from 1 species